GGGCUUGUAGCUCAGUUGGAUAGAGUAUCUGGCUACGAACCAGAGGGUCGGGAGUUCGAAUCUCUCCAAGCCCACCA
rnacentral:tRNA from 1 species